rnacentral:misc_RNA from 1 species
AGGCUGCCUAUAUGCACUUCAUUCUGCUCAGGAUCAAAUAACAACUUCUCAAUCGAGGGAUGCAAAGAUGUCAGUCUCUUUUCCUUGUCAAAAUAUGGGAAGUAAAUUGUCAUGUCAGCUCCAGGAGACACUAUAUUGAAUUUGGGAUCGAAGACAUCAAUGCCAUGGACAACACGAUAUAGGCCUGGGAGAGUGAAAGCAGUAUGACUCUCGUACUGACCAACAGUAUUCUUCGUU